rnacentral:rRNA from 1 species
GAAUCUUGCGCAAUGGGCGAAAGCCUGACGCAGCAACGCCGCGUGCGGGAUGAAGGCCUUCGGGUUGUAAACCGCUUUCAGUGGGGACGAACCAAGACGGUACCCACAGAAGAAGCCCCGGCCAACUACGUGCCAGCAGCCGCGGUAACACGUAGGGGGCAAGCGUUGUCCGGAUUUAUUGGGCGUAAAGAGCUCGUAGGUGGCUCAGUAAGUCGGGUGUGAAACCUCCAGGCUCAACCUGGAGACGCCACCCGAUACUGCUGUGGCUAGAGUCCAGUAGGGGAGCAUGGAAUUCCUGGUGUAGCGGUGAAAUGCGCAGAUAUCAGGAGGAACACCAGUGGCGAAGGCGGUGCUCUGGGCUGGAACUGACACUGAGGAGCGAAAGCGUGGGGAGCGAACAG